GCUAUUGGAGGGCAAGUCUGGUGCCAGCAGCCGCGGUAAUUCCAGCUCCAAUAGCGUAUAUUAAAGUUGUUGCGGUUAAAAAGCUCGUAGUUGAAUCUGUGUGCCACGCUGUCGGUUCAUCGCUCGCGAUGUUUAACUGAUCAGAUUGUGGGACGUCCUACCGGUGGGCUUAGUCUUUCGGGACGGCCCAGCUAAUAUCCCAUCGCGGUGCUCUUCAUCGAGUGUCGAGGUGGGCCGGUACGUUUACUUUGAACAAAUUAGAGUGCUCAAAGCAGGCUAUGUUCGCCUGAAUAAUGUGUGCAUGGAAUAAUGGAAUAGGACCUCGGUUCUAUUUUGUUGUUCGACCCCGAGUA
rnacentral:rRNA from 1 species